CUUAACCAAGGAAUCACACUCCAAAAAAUGAAGUCUAGAUUUGCGAAUCUCGAGCUAUAAGGAAAACCUCCUGGGAGCAUAGGAAUUGUAGACAAUUCCCAAAUUCGUCUCGAAUGCGCACAUUCAAAAAGCGCAUGAUUAAUUGUCUCGAUUUCAACGCCACAUUUUUUACAUACCGUGUCACACUGAAUCUUGCGAGAAGCUAAGGCGUCCAUGACCGGAAGUGUACCCGUGGCAAUUUGCCAAAUAAAAUGCUUGAUUUUUGGUGGAGUGCGAAUAUGCCAUGCAUACGCUUUUAGAGCAGUAUAGCUUGGAUUCUCUUCCGCCUCUCCUAUCAAAUUAUGUGCUAGCCAGUACCCAGAUUUGAC
rnacentral:lncRNA from 1 species